rnacentral:tRNA from 1 species
GGGGGUGUACACUUAAAUGGAAAACUGCUUACUGCAAGUUUGCGGAUGCGAGUUCGAGUCUCGCCGCCUCCA